UACAGAGGAUGCAAGCGUUAUCCGCAAUGAUUGGGCGUAAAGCGUCUGUAGGUGGCUUUUUAAGUCCGCCGUCAAAUCCCAGGGCUCAACUUUGGACAGGCGGUGGAAACUAUCAAGCUGGAGUACGGUAGGGGCAGAGGGAAUUUCCGGUGGAGCGGUGAAAUGCGUAGAGAUCGGAAAGAACACCAACGGCGAAAGCACUCUGCUGGGCCGACACCGACAGUGAGAGACGAAAUCUAGGGAAGCGAAUGGG
rnacentral:rRNA from 1 species